rnacentral:sRNA from 1 species
GGCGCGAGGGGUCGCCACCCGUCAGCGAGGGUUCGCCCACGGGUGUCGUCGGC